ACCCUGAUGGCCUCGUUAUUUUUGACACAAACAGAACUCUCAGAUUUUUUUGAGACUUGCCUUUGGUUCAGGAUGUUCUCUUUGAGGCUCGAGGAUACAUAAGGAUUAGGAAACGGGUGCUCCAGUGUAACGAAAAGAAUGCAGUGGAAGGAUGGAAAUGAUCUCUAGUCCCAAACCCCUGUGUGUGUUUUAGACCAUCACAUGUGAAAGGGCUGCUGAUUAAGGCUGUAAAAUAUUUACAUGAUUGUGGCUUGUUUUAUAAAGUAGAGGUUGGGGGCACUUCAUUAACCAGCUUCAUUUCUUGGUACAGCCUACUACAAUUUCCUUGAAUGCUUAGAUUUGAUACACAGUUAAAGAAUACAGUACUUGCCUGCAUUAUUUCCUGAAGGUUGGUGCCUCUGUUAAUAACGCAGGAGGGCUGCGUUAUUGAAGACCGGGAGAAUAUGUUUGUCUGGAGAAGGUCGCCGCUGUUAGAGGCCAUUUAUCUCUCUUCUGGGCCCCUCAUUUGGAGCAGCCACAGUUCUGAAGGAACCACACACACAACGCUCCAACAGCAAUUCAGAAAUUUCCGCCAAAUAGAGACAUAGUGGAGUGUCGUCAUUCACCUUAUUCGCUGGAUCAGGCACUGUGCAACUUCUGAGUCUUCCCCCAAAGUCAAAAUGACCACAAAAGCAGAUCUUUCUACUGUGCUGUUUCUGCCGUGGAGCCAGCCAGCUAUGGACAGAAACUUCUGAAACUAUGAGCCCCAGUGAACCUCUCCUGUAAGUUGUCAUGUCGUAUAUUGUGUCCCAGUGAUGACAAAAGUGACCAAGACAGUAGUCUUCAAAAUCAAAAAUUUGAAGGAGAAGAAAGUAAACAUCCAUGAAUCCUAGAUUAACUUUGACGUCUUUCAUUGGUGCCUCUUUUACCUUGAAUGAAAUCUAAACUGCCUCCUCCCAGACCAGGCUCUCCUGCUAUCAUUCUGCCUCUCCUGUGUUUCAUCUAUGUGCCUUUUUUCUGUCCUUGCUCUUCUCUGAUGGCAUGGACCUCUCUGCGCCUUAAAGCUGUGCUCUCACUGCUCUCCACUGAAUGACUCGUUCAGCUCAAAAGUCA